UACGUAGGGUGCAAGCGUUUAAUCGGAAUUACUGGGCGUAAAGCGUGCGCAGGCGGUUAUGUAAGACAGAUGUGAAAUCCCCGGGCUCAACCUGGGAACUGCAUUUGUGACUGCAUAGCUAGAGUACGGUAGAGGGGGAUGGAAUUCCGCGUGUAGCAGUGAAAUGCGUAGAUAUGCGGAGGAACACCGAUGGCGAAGGCAAUCCCCUGGACCUGUACUGACGCUCAUGCACGAAAGCGUGGGGGAGCAAACAGG
rnacentral:rRNA from 1 species